AACAUUCACCAACAACAGAAAAGAAAGAAGAAGAAAAAGAAAAAGAAAAGGAAAAGGAGUACCUUCAAGGCUUCAACGGCAGUCGGCACUCGGCAGCGUCGGGAAAGAAUCGCAACACCACAUUUCUCUUCUUUUCUCUCUGAUCUGCCAUAUUAACUCUUUUCUCUCUUAUCAACAGAGGAAGAAGAAGAAGAAGAAGAAGAAGCAGCAGCAGCAGCAGCCGAUUCUCCCAGGACAAUAUUUGAAUGGAUUCUUCAAACUCAAAUUCUCCCCAAGCAAAUAGCACUAGUGGCACUUCUUCAAAAACUAGGGAGGAAGAAUUUAAUCCUCUGUGGAGAUAUGUAACUAAAC